rnacentral:lncRNA from 1 species
CAAUAAUACUCAGUCUACAAUGAAAUUUUAGAGACAUCAAUGUGGAGACGAAGUGCUUUCAUAGCUGUGAUGGCUUUUGCAUUCCUGUCCUAUAUUUAUAGCGUAUAUCGAUUGAUUUAUUUUCAAUAAACAGAAAACUAUUUUACAAGGUUACCAAACAAGAACUAAUGAAUGAAAAAUGCUAUGAGGAAUACUUCUAAUAAAUGAAAAUACAUUGCAAUGUACAGACUUAAACAGCUCAAAUAUCCGAAACCCAGUUUGGCUUUUGAUAAAAACCGUUAGCCGAAACUAGUUUGGCCAGUAUAUUUUCAUGAAUUGUGCCCUGGAAGUUUCGCAGAGAAAAAUAAAAAUUCCGAAAAAUCUU